CUUUUUUGUGAAUUACCUGAGGUUAUUCACCUUUUCUCGGUGACUGCAAGACAUCGGGUCAAUCGAGGGGGAAUGGCCAUAUCCCCGAGCUCACUUGGAAAUAAUAAUUUGCCUUUCAACCUACCGACCUUCAGAAUUAUGUUCUCCUACCCUACAAUUUUUUUCCGGGAAAGGCAGAAAGUGGCACGUGUCAUCGAGUAUUUAAGGCAGUAGCGUAAACUAAAACUUUGGAUUCGCCUUACCUCUGCAUAUGCACGUUCUAGCCUACCACUCCAACAACAUCGUCGGACGCUUCACGUAUCAGGUUCUACGUCUGAAGAGAAAUGGAUGUUGCAUGUGUUCAAAUUACACAAUACGUUUGAAUCAACACAUGUUUCGAUAGUGAAAGCAUUCCUUUACAUCUGUCCUACAGAUAAUAACACAUCCCCUGAAGAGUGCUGGUGAAAAUUUCAUUAACAGAUGCCCGACAUUUUCAAUGCAUCGACCGUUUGGGUUCUGCCUGAUGGUACAAUGCCGCUUUGAACUGUUCAACUCGUCUGCUAUUCUACGACCAUAACAAACCUGGAAGCUUUUGAAGAUGAUGGUUUUUAGAUCGGUGAACCAAAAAGACAGCUCUUGAUAAUCAUGGGCUAAGUAAGCCAUAAUUACAGUCACUGUCAGCUACAAUAAAAUUGACGUAUGGAAGAUUCCUACGUGGCUAAAAAUUCAAAAAUAUUUUGGAAAUACAAAUUAGUAUUUAUUUUAA